AUGUGCGUGCUGUCCAGGAGUUGGAGGCACCUCUGGCGCUCCGUGCCGUCCAUCCACAUCGACCAGCAGCGGGAGUUCGGUAGCGACCACGAGCUGCAGAGCUUCACCAACUCCCUCCUGGACCACCAUAACAACCUUGUGCUCCUAGAUGCGUUCCGGCUGCUGCUAAGCUCUCAAGACCUCCGCCUGCCGGCCUGCCUUUGGGUCCGUCGCGUCAUCAGCCAAGAUGAUACACCGCCUUACCAGCUCAAAAGGUUGCACCUUUGCAACGUGCACCUGGACAAGGAUUUUGCGAGCCACAUCAGUGACGACAGGUGCCCUGCGCUGGAGGACGUGCGACUGGAAAACUGCAGUUACUUCACCACCCGGUAUAAGAUCACCUCCUUCUCACUCAAGAAAUUGGUUGUGGAUGGUUUAUACAUGGUGCAAGAUGACGAAAGUGAUGAUGAUGAGGAGGAUGAGAUUUUCAAGUUGAUUAUAGAGGCUCCUGCUCUUGUUUCUGUCCGCUUGGCCGGGGAGCUUGAUCACAUUGUUGAUAUCAAUGAACCACAUACCAUGGACUCUCUUGCUGAUGCGUCGGUUUAUCUGCCCAUGAUGACUGACGAGGAGCUCAAUGAGGUUGAAGAAAACGAUGCAACUGCGCUCCAAUCGGUUCUUGGCGUGCUGCUUAAUGUGACAACUUUGACCCUGUCCCAUUUCAGGUUGCUGUUCCGACCUGGGGAUUCUGUGGAACUUCAGCUUCCUGUAUUCCAGAACCUUAGAACCUUGUUCCUGGACGAGUGUUACAUUGUUGGCGACGACUUCGUGGGGCUCAAGCCUUACCUGCACAAGUCACCUAACCUGGAGAAGCUCACUUUGCGCUGUAGCAAGGUGCAACCAGGGUACUCUUUGAACUGGUAUUUUGGAGAUGACGACCUGGUGGAUUUCAUGUGCGACAACCUUAGGCUUACUGAAAUUAUAUACCAGCAUGAUGAUGAUGCUGCCCCCCUAUUGGUCGCGUUUUUGCUGAGCAUUUCAAGGAGCCUGCCGAAGAACAAGAUUGAACUCAUUAGAGUCGAAUAG
rnacentral:rRNA from 1 species